GACGAACGCUGGCGGCGUGCUUAACACAUGCAAGUCGAACGGAAAGGCCCUGCUUGCAGGGUACUCGAGUGGCGAACGGGUGAGUAACACGUGGGUGAUCUGCCCUCCACUUCGGGCUAAGCCUUGGACACUUGGUCUAAUACCGGAUAGGAGCCAUUUUUAGUGUGUUGGUUGGAAGGUUUUUGCGGUGUAGGGUGGGCUCGGGGCCUAGCAGCUUGUUCGUGGGGUAAUGGCCUACCAAGGCGGCGACGGGUAGCCGGGCCGAGAGGGGGGACGGCCACAGUGGGGAUGAGAACGGGAGCAGACACCUAGGGGAGGCAGCAGUGGGGAAUAUUGCACAAGCGGCGCAGGCCUGUUGCAGCGACGCCGCGUGGGGGAGGAAGGCCUUCGGGUUGUAGAAGCCUUUCGGUAGGGACGAAGCUUUUUGUGACGGUAGCUAGAUAAGAAGCGCCGGCUAACUACGUG
rnacentral:rRNA from 1 species